rnacentral:rRNA from 1 species
CCCUUUACGCCCAAUGAUUCCGGACAACGCUCGCCCCCUAUGUAUUACCGCGGCUGCUGGCACAUAGUUAGCCGGGGCUUCCUCCUUAGGUACCGUCAAUCAGAAAGCAUAUUACUCUUCCUGCCAUUCGUCCCUAAUGACAGGGCUUUACAACCCGAAGGCCUUCUUCACCCACGCGGCGUCGCUCCGUCAGACUUUCGUCCAUUGCGGAAGAUUCCCCACUGCUGCCUCCCGUAGGAGUCUGGGCCGUGUCUCAGUCCCAGUGUGGCCGUUCGUCCUCUCAGACCGGCUACUGAUCGUUGCCUUGGUGGGCCAUUACCCCUCCAACUAGCUAAUCAGGCGCAGACCCUUCCUCGAGCGAUGGCAUAUACAGAGGCCACCUUUCAUCUCCCAGUCAUGCGACCAAGAGGCUUCAUUCGGUAUUAGCACCCCUUUCGGGAUGUUGUCCCCAACUCGAGGGUAGGUUGUCUACGUGUUACUCACCCGUUCGCCACUAAAUGAUUCAUGUCCCGAAAGGCUCAAAACAUUCCGUUCGACUUGCAUGUGUUAAGCGCGCCGCCAGCGUUCGUCCUGAGCCAGGAUCAAACUCU